CCUACGGGUGGCAGCAGUGAGGAAUAUUGGUCAAUGGGCGCUAGCCUGAACCAGCCAAGUAGCGUGAAGGAUGACGGCCCUACGGGUUGUAAACUGCUUUUAUAUGGGAAUAAAGUGCAUUAUGUAUACUGCUUUGCAUGUACCGUAUGAAUAAGGAUCGGCUAACUCCGUGCCAGCAGCCGCGGUAAUACGGAGGAUCCGAGCGUUAUCCGGAUUUAUUGGGUUUAAAGGGAGCGUAGGCGGGUUGUUAAGUCAGUUGUGAAAGUUUGCGGCUCAACCGUAACAUUGCAGUUGAUACUGGCGUCCUUGAGUACACUAGAGGUAGGCGGAAUUCGUGGUGUAGCGGUGAAAUGCUUAGAUAUCACGAAGAACUCCGAUUGCGAAGGCAGCCUACUGGACUGUAACUGACGCUGAUGCUCGAAAGCGUGGGUAUCAAACAGGAUUAGAUACCCGGGUAGUC
rnacentral:rRNA from 1 species